rnacentral:tRNA from 1 species
GAAAAUAAAGUAUUUAGUAUAAUUCUCUUACAUAGAAUAGGUCUAUCAUGUGUAGUAUUUUCU